GUUUGAUCCUGGCUCAGAACGAACGCUGGCGGCGCGCCUAACACAUGCAAGUCGCACGAGAGGCUCUUCGGAGUAGUACAGUGGCGCACGGGUGAGUAAGACAGGGGUAACCUGCCUUUGAGAGGGGAAUAACCAGCCGAAAGGCUGGCUAAUACCCCAUACGCUUCCGGUCCCUCGGGUAAGGAAGGAAAGUUGCAUCGUGGAUGUGGCGCUCAAAGAGGGGCUCAUGGCCUAUCAGCUUGUUGGUGGGGUAACGGCCUACCAAGGCAACGACGGGUAGCUGGUCUGAGAGGACGAUCAGCCACACUGGCACUGAGACACGGGCCAGACUCCUACGGGAGGCAGCAGUGAGGAAUAUUGCGCAAUGGGCGAAAGCCUGACGCAGCGACGCCGCGUGGGGGAAGAAGGUUUUCGGAUUGUAAACCCCUUUUAGGAGGAAAGAUGGGGUGGGUCACCACCCGGACGGUACCUCCAGAAAAAGCCACGGCUAACUUCGUGCCAGCAGCCGCGGUAAUACGAAGGUGGCAAGCGUUGUUCGGAUUUACUGGGCGUAAAGAGCACGUAGGCGGUUGAGUCAGCCCCUUGGGAAAGCUCCGGGCUUAACCCGGAAAAGUCGAGGGGGACUGCUCAGCUAGAGGGCGGGAGAGGAGCGCGGAUUNCCNNGUGUAGCNGUGAAAUGCGUAGAUAUCGGGAAGAAGGCCGGUGCGANGCNGCCCUCUNGAACGUCUCUGACGCUGAGGCGCGACGCGUGGGAGCAACAGGAUAGAUACCUGGUAGUC
rnacentral:rRNA from 1 species